UUUCUUCCUCGUUCUCUCUGUCCCACACUCUCCUUCCCUUUCCUCUUUUUUUCUGAUUAACUGCCAAAAACAAUUAAGAAUAACAAGAUUAACCAAUGAGGCUAAGAGACCUCCAAGUCUAUAAAAGCAACGACAAUUCCUCCACACCUACACAGAGUCGCAGACUCACACUGAAACCAUUAGAUCCAAAACUGCGAUCGCAACUUCUUCCUGCAAUGGAUUUUGCACCGCAUGAUCUCGGAGGUUCGAAUUGAAACGCGGUCGAGUUCGAGCCGAGCUCGGAUCUCAGUAGAGCAGAAAGAGAAGAAAGCGAGGAGAGAGGAAGAGGGGAAUGCGGAAUUGGCGAGGGGGAAUGAUGGUGGCUCUUGGCGUUUGUGAAAACAUAGGAGCAGAGGAAGAAGCCCAGAACUCACAGAUGGGCUCGUAGGGAGGAGGAAGAAGCAGGUCUUAGCAAGUCCUGUGGUUUGGGGAGGCCUUUAGUCCACACGAGUCCCCUUUAGUCCCACUUAACUUAGUCCCAGCACCUAUCAAACAUGGGACUGUAGUCCAGUCCAGUCCAGUCCAGUCCAGUCCCUCCUAAAGAGGACAUUUGACUUCCUCUGGAGCGAAACGUGAUCAAACGGACGAAUUUUGGAGUAAUUCAAAUUGGAGGAUGUUCGUGUGUUCCUUAGCUUGUUCAUAUCAAAAUUUCAGUAAUUUUUACCAAGCGAUUAUUUUCUGGUGAUUAAAUAAAGAAGCAGUGUGCGUUGUUGGAAAGUGACAUUUUUGGGCUUAAUUGCAGUUUUUGGAGCCCAAGAUGAUCUUAGAUGGGUUCGUAGCCUUCUGGAGGGUUGUCCCUGAAAUUGACUAAGGCUUCUUGUGGUUAAUAUAUGUAACUUCUUAGGAUGGACGACACGUCUUAAGGGUUAUAUGGUUUUUCAAAAGGUUUUCACAAAACUUAAUGAGUCUUACAUGUUCACAUUCUAUCUGGACACCAUGGACGGGUUGCAUGUUAGAUAUACGUUAUAUGUUGGAGGUUCCAAGUAGGAUAUAUAUUAGGAAAACCUAAUCUUCAAAAUAUGCAUGUGUAAUUCAUAAGUAAUUGGAAGAACUACAUAGGAUUGUUAAGGUGACGGCGGAACCCUAGUGCUUUAUCACUUUGAAUUCUAAAAAAUUGUUUCUUUCUCUUUCUUUGAAAUUGCAGAUUUUAGUUAACCUUUUACUUGAAUUCAUUUUUCUUAAGUUAGGUCACUAAAUCACCUUUUUCCAAAACUUUGUUCUUAAUAAUUAGUUGAGAUUUGGUUUGUGUAAAUUUAUUUAAAUUAACUAGUUGAGAUUUGGUUUGCGUAAAUUUAUUUAAAUUAACCACUAUGGAGAACGACCUUACUUGAGCCAACUAUACUAUGAUAAUCUUGUUUCUUUUUCAAGUAUUUUAGGUGUUUUUAACCAUUUAUGUGCAUGUGGUAAAAAACAUAUCAAGAAAUUGACGCCCCUGCCAGAGAUUGAUUUUAAAUAGAUUUUUGUUUAUCAUAUUCUCAAUUAAUUAUUCCCGUAUAUAUUUAUAAAAAACAUUAAUUUUCGUUUUUUUUUUAAUUUCUGCAGAUUGUGAGCACUGCAUGGUCUGUACCAGAUCACAAAAGUAGCAAUUGACAAAUUUUGAUCCAGAACUUGAACGAAUAGUAAGGAGCAGAAUCUGCAGUGGGAACCCUCACGGCAGGGAAUAAUUUUGCAUAAUCUGUUUAUUGGGUUUUUGGACAGCGAAGAGGCUAUGGCUUUUGUUCUACCAACAACAGGAUAAUCGUUGAAGGAGCCAUUGGUAGCUCAUGCCACCGAGAAAUAUCUUGGUAAAAGGAUUUUCAGCCGAAUUUAUCAAACUUAUACAUUUUCCUUACACUUUGAAGGAUGAGGCAAUGAGAUGGUUACUUACACUUCCAUCCGGAAGCAUUACUUCGUGGGCCUAACUCGCGUUUUUAAGCAAGUAUUACCCAACAUCAAAGAUGCUUGAUAUGAGUACACAAAUUUAACAUUUUCCCAGAAACCUAAUGAAGCAAUUCAUGAAGCAUGGGAACGUUACAAAGAUUUGCUCCGGAAAUGUCUGCAUUCAGGCAUUAAUGGUGACACUCAAAUGAAUUUAUUUUACAGAGGGCUAAAUUUGGCAACUAAGACUUUUGUAAAUGCUUCUUAUGGAGGAACGUAUUCAGACAAACAUGCUCUGCAAGCGUAUCAAUUAUUUGAGAAAAUGGCAACAUAAUCUCAACAAUGGGCGAUUGAUCUACCUCAGACUAGGGGUGUUUUUGAGAUGUUUAGUGGAUCUCCACAAAUAGAAAAGAUGGAGAAAAAGUUAGAAACUUUUGAUGCAAAAUUUGAUAUGCUUUUACAAAGAAUGACAACACAUGUGCAGUAGGUUGAGGUCCAAUAGCUUACUGCAACAGCUUGUACCAUUUGUGGCAUCACAACGCAUGAUUUCAUAGGCUGCCCAUAUAGGGACGUGUAUACGGAACAAGAUAAUGCAUUUGAUAAUUAUUAGA